rnacentral:rRNA from 1 species
GAUGAACGCUGGCGGCGUGCCUAAUACAUGCAAGUCGAGCGAACAGAUAAGGAGCUUGCUCCUUUGACGUUAGCGGCGGACGGGUGAGUAACACGUGGGUAACCUAUCUAUAAGACUGGUAUAACUCCGGGAAACCGGGGCUAAUGCCGGAUAACAUGUUGAACCGCAUGGUUCUACAGUGAAAGGCGGCUUUGCUGUCACUUAUAGAUGGACCCGCGCCGUAUUAGCUAGUUGGUGAGGUAACGGCUCACCAAGGCAACGAUACGUAGCCGACCUGAGAGGGUGAUCGGCCACACUGGAACUGAGACACGGUCCAGACUCCUACGGGAGGCAGCAGUAGGGAAUCGUCCGCAAUGGGCGAAAGCCUGACGGAGCAACGCCGCGUGAGUGAUGAAGGUCUUCGGAUCGUAAAACUCUGUUAUUAGGGAAGAACAAAUGCGUAAGGAACUGUGCGCGUCUUGACGGUACCUAAUCAGAAAGCCACGGCUAACUACGUG